GACGAACGCUGGCGGCGUGCCUAAUACAUGCAAGUCGAGCGCAGGAAGCUGACGGAACUCUUCGGAGGGAAGGCAGUGGAAUGAGCGGCGGACGGGUGAGUAACACGUAAGGAACCUGCCUCAAGGAUUGGGAUAACUCCGAGAAAUCGGAGCUAAUACCGGAUAGUUCAACGGACCGCAUGGUCCGCUGAUGAAAGGCGCUUCGGCGUCACCUUGAGAUGGCCUUGCGGUGCAUUAGCUAGUUGGUGGGGUAACGGCCUACCAAGGCGACGAUGCAUAGCCGGCCUGAGAGGGUGAUCGGCCACACUGGGACUGGGACACGGCCCAGACUCCUACGGGAGGCAGCAGUAGGGAAUCUUCCACAAUGGACGAAAGUCUGAUGGAGCAACGCCGCGUGAGUGAUGAAGGUUUUCGGAUCGUAAAACUCUGUUGUAAGGGAAGAACACGUACGAGAGGGAAUGCUCGUACCUUGACGGUACCUUACGAGAAAGCCACGGCUAACUACGUGCCAGCCGCCGCAGUAA
rnacentral:rRNA from 1 species